rnacentral:rRNA from 1 species
AUUGAACGCUGGCGGCAUGCCUUACACAUGCAAGUCGAACGGCAGCACGGGUGCUUGCACCUGGUGGCGAGUGGCGAACGGGUGAGUAAUACAUCGGAACGUACCUUAUCGUGGGGGAUAACGCAGCGAAAGCUGUGCUAAUACCGCAUACGCCCUGAGGGGGAAAGCGGGGGAUCACAAGACCUCGCGCGAUUAGAGCGGCCGAUGCCUGAUUAGCUUGUUGGUGGGGUAAAAGCCCACCAAGGCGACGAUCAGUAGCUGGUCUGAGAGGACGAUCAGACACACUGGGACUGAGACACGGCCCAGACUCCUACGGGAGGCAGCAGUGGGGAAUUUUGGACAAUGGGGGCAACCCUGAUCCAGCAAUGCCGCGUGAGUGAAGAAGGCCUUCGGGUUGUAAAGCUCUUUUGUCAGGGAAGUAACACCGGCUCUAACACAGUCCGGGAAUGACGGUACCUGAAGAAUAAGCACCGGCUAACUACGUGCCAGCCGCCGCGGUAA